UACAGAGGUCUCAAGCGUUGUUCGGAUUCAUUGGGCGUAAAGGGUGCGUAGGUGGCAGGGUAAGUCGGAUGUGAAAUCCCGGGGCUCAACCUCGGAACUGCAUUCGAUACUGCUUUGCUGGAGUACUGGAGAGGAGAUUGGAAUUUACGGUGUAGCAGUGAAAUGCGUAGAUAUGACAUAGAACACCAAUUGCGAAGGCAGCUUGCUAACCGAAUAUUGACACUGAGGCACGAAAGCGUGGGGAUCAAACAGG
rnacentral:rRNA from 1 species